GCAAGUAUGAAAAAGCCCUUCACAGUUUGUUUCCCUAAAGCAAGUAAUGAUGAUGAUGAUGAUGUGGAUAACCCCAGCCUAUGGGAAGAAUUUGGUGAAGAGUACAAUGCUGAUGUUGAAGCUAUCCAAACCAACUGCAGGCAACAGAUCUUACAGUGCUUUGUCCCGUUCAUUACUACUGGUGAUUAGAGAUGGACUAAAGGAAACAAAAAUUAUACACAGUAUGAUGGCUAAGGUAACUAAACUUUGCAGCUUAAUACAUAUUACCUGUGGUCUGAAAGAAGCAUUUGAAGCUGAGUUCGGAGUCAAUAGUAGUGUCCCUGCUGCUGUGUCUACCAGAUGGAAUUCUAUCCUCCGGCAUGUUAAAGCAGUCACCAAUCUGAAUCAACAAAGCCUCAAUACUCUAGUUGAGGCCCAAGGACACAAGGAGCUCUGCUUAUCACCAAGGGAAUGGAGCCAGCUAUUGGACGCUUUUGUCCAGGCCACCAACCUUACUCAGGGGGAGAAUGUGCUGACUCUCAGUGCUGCCUUUCCUUGUGUACUGUCACUCAACUAUCAUCUGCAAAGUAUACUGAGCACAAGUCGUCACCUAGUCAGUCUAGUAAAAGCAUUGCAGCAGUCACUCAAACGCUGAUUCCAGGGGGUGUUUGUGAAUGUCAGAAUGGAGCACUUGGAUUACCAGGCAACAAAACCUCCAUUUGGUGACAAUGUAUACAUAAUGGCUGCACAGCUGGACCCAUCUUUCUGCCUGUUCUGGCUUGAUCAUGAUGUCCUCAUACCACAUGAAGAUAAAGCUGAAUUGAAGAAGUCUGAUUGCCGUUACAGAACCACCCACCACCAACGGACCAAGCAGCGUGGACGGGAGCAGCACCAGGAGUAGAUCAAGCAGCGUGCUCGGGAGGUGAUGGCAUCCUGGUCGCUGGAGGAAUUGGAGGGAAGAAUAGACUGGACUUGGGAAGAGCUAUUGGACCAUUGCAACAGCCUGCCGGGGAAGCAGGUGGAGGUGAAGAGGCAGCCCCAAAAAAAUGAUGGGGGGGGGCACACGGGGAGAUUGGUGGAGUCAGGCAUUAGACCUGAGCCAACUCCCCGUGCUUACCGGGAGCGGCGUGUUACUGGUCAGGCACCGUGUUAUGCGAUAGAGCACACGGUGUCUUCAGUGCACGCUCAUAGCCUGGUGCGCUACAUUCCAGCCCCCCGCAAGUGCCGUGCUAGAGUGGGCAUCCAGCCAGGUAGGAGUAUGCCUGCUCAGCACAUCUGGCCACCAGUGCGUCUCCUAGGCCCAGGCUACCCUGCGCCUGCUCUACGCACGGCAGCCAUCAUGCCUCAGCACAGCCCAGUUCGCCCUGUGCCAGCACUCUGCCUGUGCAGGGCUACAGUUACAACCCAGCCAGGAUGGGUUGUGCAGGCUGUGCGCUCCAGACCUCCAGUACAUCCUCAAGACCCAGUCUAUCCUGUGCCUGCUCCCAGAGCCAGGCCUCCUGCAUGUCUCCCCAGUCUGGUCAGUCCUGUGCCUGCUCCCAGAGCCAGGCCUCCUGCAUGUCUCCCCAUCCUGGUGAGUCCUGUGCCUGCUCCCAGAGCCAGGCCUCCUGCAUGUCUCCCCAGCCUGGUGGGUCCUGUGCCUGCUCCCAGAGCCGGGCCUCCUGCAUGUCUCCCCAGCCUGGUGAGUCCUGUGCCUGCACCCAGAGCCAGGCCUACUGCUAGUCCCGCCAGUCCGGAGCCGCCAGAGCCGCCAGAGCCGCCCGCCUGUCCGACGCAGCCAGAGCCGCCCGCCUGUCCUGCGCAGCCAGAGCCGCCCGCCUGUCCGGCGCAGCCAGAGUCGCCCGCCUGUCCGGCGCAGCCAGAGUCGCCCGCCUGUCCGGCGCAGCCAGAGUCGCCCGCCUGUCCGGCGCAGCCAGAGUCGCCCGCCUGUCCGGCGGCGAGGGACCCCGCUCUAGAGGCGCCACCUAAGUGGGGUAGGCCAGUGGUGGAGCGGGGUCAGCAUCCCUCUCCUGAGCCACCUCCGUAGGGGGGAGGAUUGGGAAGGGGGUGUAGCACAAGAACCGUCAUUGACGGUGGCCACCCUCCCUUCCCUCCCUUUAGUUUGGGGUUAUUGUUUUGUGAGUUUUUGUUUCAGGUGCAUUCGCAGUCUGCACCUUUGGGGGUGGGGGGGGGGGGUACUGUCACAUCCUGACCAGUAAAGGGGGUUAUUUGUUGUUGUAGUUUGGUCAGGGCGUGGCAGGGGGUGUUUUGGGGUUUUAUUCUAUGUCCUUUUUUCUAUGUUUUGUAUUUCUUUGUUUUGGCCUGGUAUGGCUCUCAAUCAGGGACAGCUGUACUUCGUUGUCGCUUAUUGGGAGCCAUACUGAGGUAGCCUGUUUUCCUUUGGGUUUUGUGGGUGGUUAAUUUCUGUUUAGUAUUGUUACCUGACAGAACUGUUUUGGCUGUCAUUCGUUUCUUGUUUUGUUUAAAGUGUUCCAUUAAAAUAUUAUGAUGAGCACUAACCACGCUGCGCCUUGGUCUACUCCAAUCAACAGCCGUUACAUCUCAACAAAUCAUCUGAGGGUGAUUCGUCAACCAACCAUCAUUAUCGUAGAGCACUCAAUUGAUUCACUUUAUAUGUGUGUGCUGUAUUGACCUGCUCCCUUAUUAAUAAGUGGGCCACUAUGCACGGAACGGGUUCUACAUGGAACCAAAAAGGGUUCUCCUAUGGGGAGCAUGAAGAAUCCUUUUAGGUUGUAUCUCAACAAUGUUCUAAAUCCUAUUUGUUUUAUUUUCUAUGAACAAAGGCUCAGCUUAGUUCAGGUGGUUAUAGUAAAUGUUGGAUGUCUUGAUAAAAUGUGUUAGUGUUAAUAUUUGUAUGAAAAUAGCAUUUAACAGUUCGCUAGCUUGAUGCUUUGCAAAGUUAGAUCUCUUUUCACACAACAGCAGCAUCCAGGCCUCCAGAGUACUCACCCUAUCACCUUCUGUAGGGACGGGAGCCGCAGCUGUUUACUGAGGUGAGCCUGAACAUGGACAAGGUUCAGGAGAAACAUAAGGAAAACCACCAGAGGAGAAUCAAGAAGGGGACCAAGUGCUUCGACAUCCGGUCAAAUUACUUGGCUUGGAAGAAGGAUGAAAGGAAGUCGAGACCUUGCUGCUCUUUCGCUCCUAGCUGGGGCCACGAUCCGUUCAGGGACCAUCCCUCACCUCCCUCAUCAACCCCACUGACAUAAAAAAAAUACAGACAGGACCUAGGGGUACUGCCUAACACCCAGAUGUGGAUCUACCUGAUGUCCUCCAUUACCAACCACCCUCCAACUUUUCAUUACAUCAUCUACAGCUACUGUUACUGUCAUGUUGUCAUUAUCUGCUAAGAAAGAGCAAGAAAACUAUCAUACUGGGAACAUAAUGUGAGAUACAAUGAUUAUCUAAAAACACUAGCACUCAGAACAAAGAGAGCAGCAGUGCAUGGACUUCAGUCUCCCUCUUCCAGUCCCCCUUCCGAGACUGACUGUUUGUUGAGAACAGUGACAGACAGAACCUCCCAACCACAUAGCACCCACCUCCUCUCUAUUCCACACACCAGAAUUCAGUAUUUCAGUCUAUGAUUGCCAUGUGAGGACAAAAAAAGCUAAGUUUUAAAUAUAUAAUCGUAAAUAUUGCCAGGUUGGUUUUCAUAGCUUGUUCAUUGUUGAAAAUAUUAAUGUAUCCCUUGAUGAUAUUUGUUAGGUCAACAUUAUUCAUUGUUGUAUCAUAGGACCUAUAAUAGAUAAACAUUCAACCACAAUGAGCUAUAUAAACUCAGCAAAAAAAUAAACGUCCUCUCACUCUCAACUGCGUUUAUUUUCAGCAAACUUAACGUGUAAAUAUUUGUAUGAACAUAACAAGAUUCAACAACUGAGACAUAAACUGAACAAGUUCCACAGACAUGUGACUAAUAGAACUGGAACAAUGUGUCCCUGAACAAAGGGGGGUUCAAAAUCAAAAGUAAC
rnacentral:lncRNA from 1 species